UACAGAGGUCCCAAGCGUUGUUCGGAUUCACUGGGCGUAAAGGGUGCGUAGGUGGCCAGGUAAGUUUGAUGUGAAAGCUCGGAGCUUAACUCCGAAAUGGCAUUGAAUACUAUCUGGCUUGAGGGUCGGAGGGGAGACUGGAAUUCCUGGUGUAGCGGUGAAAUGCGCAGAUAUCAGGAGGAACACCUAUGGCGAAGGCAGCUCGCUGGGACGUUACUGACGCUGAGACGCGAAAGCGUGGGGAGCAAACAGG
rnacentral:rRNA from 1 species